rnacentral:misc_RNA from 1 species
UCCGGCUUGACGCCGGCAGUCCCCCGAGAGUCCUCAGCAUGACCUGUUAGUAACACGGGGCAAGGGUUGCGCUCGUUGCGGGACUUAACCCAACAUCUCACGACACGAGCUGACGACAGCCAUGCACCACCUGUGAUCCUGCCCAAAAGGGAAGCUGUGUUUCCACAGCGGUCAGGAACAUGUCAAGCCCUGGUAAGGUUCUUCGCGUCACGUCGAAUUAAACCACAUGCUCCGCUGCUUGUGCGGGUCCCCGUCAAUUCCUUUGAGUUUUAGCCUUGCGGCCGUACUCCCCAGGCGGGGUGCUUAAUGCGUUAGCUUCGGCACGGACGGAGUCGACACCGCCCACACCUAGCACCCAUCGUUUACGGCGUGGACUAC